rnacentral:rRNA from 1 species
CCUACGGGUGGCAGCAGUGGGGAAUAUUGGGCAAUGGAGGCAACUCUGACCCAGCAACGCCGCGUGAGCGAUGAAGGUCUUCGGAUUGUAAAGCUCUGUCGCAGGGGACGAAGGAUGACGGUACUCUGUAAGAAAGCAUCGGCAAACUACGUGCCAGCAGCCGCGGUAAUACGUAGGGGGCUAGCGUUGUCCGGAAUUACUGGGCGUAAAGGGAGUGUAGACGGCUUGUCAAGUUAAGUGUGAAAGCCUGGGGCUUAACCGCAGAAUUGCACUUAAAACUGACGCGCUAGAGUGCAGGAGAGGAGAGUGGAAUUCCUGGUGUAGGGGUGGAAUGCGUAGAUAUUAGGAGGAACACCAGAGGCGAAGGCGACUCACUGGACUGUAACUGACGUUGAGGCUCGAAAGCGUGGGUAGCAAACAGGAUUAGAUACCCGAGUAGUC